UUAUUAAUUUUCUUUUACCUAACGAUAAAUUUAUAAUCAGUGUUAUUUUAUGGACUUGCGUCGAGCAAGUUAUCAUUUAUUGUGCAAUGUAAUUAUCGCUUGUGUACUUCCUUGAUAUUAUCCGCCGGAAGAUGGGUCAUCUUUUACGAUUACACGGAAUAAGGCAGCGAACAAGACCGGCGCUGAUUUAUGCAUGCACGAUAAAUGACAGCGACGUAGUCAACAUAGCGAACGACUUAAAAUACGUGCUUUACUUGCUUAUCUAUGGCAGAGCGACUGAUCCGACGAUGCGAGUUGAAUGGCGGACGAGACAGCCUAACGAUUAUCGAUAAUCGCACCGACAUGCGGCUCGCGAAACGGGGAAACACGAAAUAAUAGCACAUCUAUAGUUUUCCCAGACGCGCCUCGAUACAAAACGAGAAGAAGGAAGCAAAGAAGGGAAAGAGGAGAAAAAAAAUGGAAUGUUUCCUCUCCGAAGCGAAGGCUCUGUGAAUGACCAGAUAAAAAUAAUACGGAUCCACGAACGUUCUGCCAGGAGGAAAUAGAUGGAACGUAGGAAGGUAUUUGGCACGAUCAGCAUGCAUAAGAUUUGGCAGACCAUGGGAUGAAAUACGGGAGUAAGAAAGUAGAAAUUCGAGAUCGGUUCGCUAGAGGCUUCCUAUACUUUCUUAAUACAUUUCGUAAUGUGAUUCUCCCAUCAUACUAUUAAUGUUUGAAACUUUUUUAUUUAAGCUUUAACACACAUUAUAUGUCCUCUCAGGAUACGUCAGUGAUCUAAUAUUACGAGAGACGUACGCGAUUGUGUAUACAUAUAGUUAAAUUUUUAAAAUAUAUAUUUUGCUUUGGUGAUACGUUUGGUUGAAAGAUGAUUAAUAUAUAGCUUCAUGUUUAGAUAUCUCAGUUUAUUAAAUAUAUAUGUACUAGUAGAUAUCUGAUAAAUAGAGGUAUAUAAUUAUAGAGCAGUAAUAUAUAUUCGAAGUGCGAAAAAGAAGAAGGUGAACUAAGUUAUGAAAAGCAUUAAAUUUUAUAUAAGCUUGUAUAUUUCUCUAACAUUGUUUGAGAAAAUAUCGUAAUCGUUAUGCAAAAUGUAAAUUUUUUAAUAGAAAUUUGAUUAAAGAAUUAUAUAAAGAAAAAA